GACGAACGCUGGCGGCGUGCCUAAUACAUGCAAGUAGAACGCUGAAGAGAGGAGCUUACUCUUCUUGGAUGAGUUGCGAACGGGUGAGUAACGCGUAGGUAACCUGCCUUGUAGCGGGGGAUAACUAUUGGAAACGAUAGCUAAUACCGCAUAACAAUGGAUGACACAUGUCAUUUAUUUGAAAGGGGCAAUUGCUCCACUACAAGAUGGGCCUGCGUUGUAUUAGCUAGUAGGUGAGGUAAUGGCUCACCUAGGCGACGAUACAUAGCCGACCUGAGAGGGUGAUCGGCCACACUGGGACUGAGACACGGCCCAGACUCCUACGGGAGGCAGCAGUAGGGAAUCUUCGGCAAUGGGGGCAACCCUGACCGAGCAACGCCGCGUGAGUGAAGAAGGUUUUCGGAUCGUAAAGCUCUGUUGUAAGUCAAGAACGGGUGUGAGAGUGGAAAGUUCACACUGUGACGGUAGCUUACCAGAAAGGGACGGCUAACUACGUG
rnacentral:rRNA from 1 species